AACGAACGCUGGCGGCAUGCCUAACACAUGCAAGUCGAACGAAGGCUUCGGCCUUAGUGGCGCACGGGUGCGUAACGCGUGGGAACCUGCCCCUCGGUUCGGAAUAACAGUUAGAAAUGACUGCUAAUACCGGAUGAUGACCUCGGUCCAAAGAUUUAUCGCCGAGGGAUGGGCCCGCGUAGGAUUAGCUAGUUGGUGGGGUAAAGGCCUACCAAGGCGACGAUCCUUAGCUGGUCUGAGAGGAUGAUCAGCCACACUGGGACUGAGACACGGCCCAGACUCCUACGGGAGGCAGCAGUGGGGAAUAUUGGACAAUGGGCGAAAGCCUGAUCCAGCAAUGCCGCGUGAGUGAUGAAGGCCUUAGGGUUGUAAAGCUCUUUUUACCAGGGAGUGAUAAUGACAGUACCUGGAGAAUAAGCUCCGGCUAACUCCGUGCCAGCAGCCCGGU
rnacentral:rRNA from 1 species